ensembl:lncRNA
CGCUACUUCAAGAAUGAUCCCCACAGACGCCCAGGCGCCCCCUGAGGAUCUCUUUUGCUAGCAGCGUGAAUAAUUGAGGUGGCAAUCAGGCGGAGAGGAGCCGGUUCAGUACAAGCGCGAUUGCACACUGCAGCCCGCACGCCCCCUCCCCGCAGCCCCCUGGCAGGAGCAAGUGACAAAAGAGAGAGAAUCUUUUCCUACCCCACCCCCCCAACCCUUUCCCCUCCGCUCAGGGGCUGGGGCGGGGGGCGGGGAUCUCUUUCUGAGAAUCCAGCCCUGGCUCCGCGCCGGGGAAGUCACCGCGUGGAGGAGACAGAGAGACAUCUCUUUAAUUUCCCUCCCUUAAGGGGCCAAGGGGGUGGCCCGCUCCGAGGGGUGCUUCCUGGACCGGGAGCCCCCGCUGGAAGCGAUCGAUCGGGAAGCGAUGAACGAGCUGGGUCCUCCCCUAUCUCUUCCUCAUAGCCUCCUCCUCCCUCUCCCCCUCCCCCUCCCUCGCCUCUUUAAUUUGUUUUGCUUUUGGCCAGCUCGGCUCAGUCCACCUUUGUGGGAACACACACGGUUGUUCCCAGCCCUCUCUCCUCCCUCUCCCCCCCUCUCUCGCGGGACCAGCCUCCCACCCCCACCCCUUUCCCUUAAGUGAGCCAUGGAUGCCUGCGUGGCAUAUGCCUUGGACCCCUGGGGGCUGACGGCGUGGGACCCUCGGAACGCCCGGAGGGCUUGCGCUGCUGCCCAGUAGACAGCUUUAACUCCACUGGGCUGGAGACAGAAGACCCUGGGAUUUCUGAGCGAAGCCCAUGGUUGACGACGUCCCUCUGGGUCCCCGACCCCAUGCUGUCCCCUCCCAAUUAUUAUGACGUCACCCUGCACGGCCGCGCCCUGGGGCCCCCACGUCUUGAUGACGACACCCUGGGGGGCCCAUGGCCCCAGUGGAGGGGGAACAGCGGCUGCGAGGGGCACCCUCUGAAACGCCGGGGGGGGCGUGGUCGACCACCGAGAUGUCAUCUUGGCUCACCAGGCGCACAAAAUCCACAGCACACCCCAAGCCAGGAGAAAAGAAUGGGAUCCCGGUGAACUUUAAGUCCGUUAACUUCGGUGGCAGUCUGGCUACCAUCUGGACGCGAGAUGACUUCGCUGUUGUCAUCGCACGGAGAGAAAGGGCAGAACAGCCAGCAAGGACACCGCAGCUGUGUGCACAUAUGGGAGUAGAAGCUGGCGGACGCGUGCGUGCUCCCAGCCAAGCCAGCCAGCCUGGGGGCCGCCGUCCCCUCGCCUGCCUCCCUCUCCCUCUCCAUUUGUGUUGAUUUUUUGGCCUGCCGUGUAUUUCUUCUUAAACAUAUAAGCACACUUUAAAAAAAAGAGAUUUGUCUUGAAGAUCAGAAUGAGAGAGAGAGAGAGAGAGAGAGAGAGAGAGAGAGAGGUCUUCCAUCCACUGGUUCAGUCCCCAAGUGGCCGUAAUGGCUGGGGCUGGGCCAGGCUGGAGCCAGGAGCCAGGAGCUUCCUCCAGGUCUCCCACGUGGGUGGCAGGGACCCAAGUGCUUUAUCCAUUGCCUGGUGCCCCCUCUCCCCAGGGUGGGGGGAGGGUCUGCGUUAGCAGGAAGCCGGUUCAAGAAUCAGAGCUGGGAAUGGAACCCAGGCGCUGAGGUGUGGGACCCAGUGUCUGCACGGCUAGGCUGAAUUCUGGCCCCCAAGCCCACAUGGUAAAACAAUCAAGAUCCUACAUGCACUGAUGGUUGUGUGGUCCCUGUCAGUGCCCUCUCCCCUGCCCCCCCCCCCCCCAAGCACCAGAAUCCUGCAUUUUAGUGUUGGUUCGAGUCCUGGCCGCUCAACUUCCCAUUCAGCUCCCUGAUUAUGGCCCUAGGGAGCGGGUCCCGUGGUUCUGACCCUGUCACCCAUAUUUAAAAACACAAGGU